rnacentral:rRNA from 1 species
UACGAAGGGUGCAAACGUUGCUCGGAAUCAUUGGGCGUAAAGCGCACGUAGGCGGCCUCAAAAGUCGGAUGUGAAAUCUCGUGGCUCAACCAUGGACGUGCAUUCGAAACUGCGAGGCUUGAGUAUGGAAGAGGGUCGCGGAAUUCCCGGUGUAGAGGUGAAAUUCGUAGAUAUCGGGAGGAACACCAGUGGCGAAGGCGGCGACCUGGGCCAAUACUGACGCUGAGGUGCGAAAGCGUGGGGAGCAAACAGG